rnacentral:rRNA from 1 species
GACGAACGCUGGCGGCGUGCUUAACACAUGCAAGUCGAGCGGUAAGGCCCUUUCGGGGGUACACGAGCGGCGAACGGGUGAGUAACACGUGGGUGACCUGCCCUCAGCUCUGGGAUAAGCCUGGGAAACCGGGUCUAAUACCGGAUAUGACUCCAUGACGCAUGUUGUGGGGUGGAAAGCCUUGUGCGGCUGAGGAUGGGCCCGCGGCCUAUCAGCUUGUUGGUGGGGUGAUGGCCUACCAAGGCGACGACGGGUAGCCGGCCUGAGAGGGCGACCGGCCACACUGGGACUGAGACACGGCCCAGACUCCUACGGGAGGCAGCAGUGGGGAAUCUUGCGCAAUGGGCGAAAGCCUGACGCGCGACGCCGCGUGAGGGAUGACGGCCU